rnacentral:rRNA from 1 species
GAGGAAUAUUGGUCAAUGGACGGAAGUCUGAACCAGCCAAGUAGCGUGCAGGAUGACGGCCCUAUGGGUCGUAAACUGCUUUUGUAUGGGGAUAAAGUUAGGGACGUGUCCCUAUUUGCAGGUACCAUACGAAUAAGGACCGGCUAAUUCCGUGCCAGCAGCCGCGGUAAUACGGAAGGUCCAGGCGUUAUCCGGAUUUAUUGGGUUUAAAGGGAGCGUAGGCUGGAGAUUAAGUGUGUUGUGAAAUGUAGACGCUCAACGUCUGAAUUGCAGCGCAUACUGGUUUCCUUGAGUACGCACAACGUUGGCGGAAUUCGUCGUGUAGCGGUGAAAUGCUUAGAUAUGACGAAGAACUCCGAUUGCGAAGGCAGCUGACGGGAGCGCAACUGACGCUUAAGCUCGAAGGUGCGGGUAUCAAACAGGAUUAGAUACCCUGGUAGUCCGCACAGUAAACGAUGGAUGCCCGCUGUUGGUACCUGGUAUCAGCGGCUAAGCGAAAGCAUUAAGCAUCCCACCUGGGGAGUACGCCGGCAACGGUG